rnacentral:rRNA from 1 species
UACAUGGGGUGCAAACGUUGCUCGGAAUUAUUGGGCGUAAAGCGCGCGUAGGCGGUUACUUAAGUCGGAUGUGAAAGCCCUCGGCUUAACUGAGGAAGUGCACCCGAAACUGAGUAGCUAGAGUACGAAAGAGGGUCGCGGAAUUCCCGGUGUAGAGGUGAAAUUCGUAGAUAUUGGGAAGAACACCAGUGGCGAAGGCGGCUAACUGGUCCAGAUCUGACGCUGAGGUGCGAAAGCGUGGGGAGCAAACAGG